AUUUUCAUUAUGUAUAAUUAGGACACUCGCGCGGUUAAAUUUCGUAGGAUUAAAGCAGUUGGACAAAUUAGUGCUAAUAAUUGCGGGGAUCGUACAUGGUAAAGUAAAGGGAACCCUCCAAAUAUUAUAAACGGAAUGCACCGUACAGGUGCAGAUGAAGAUAAAGAACCCUUCUUCUACGGGCCCGCAUUUGCUGCCAGCAAGCCAGCCAACCAGCUAGCUGGACAAAAUGCAGAAGAUUUUUGAUUGCGUCAACCAAAGCGAUAGGGUACUGAAUUUAGGGC